GGGAUGAAGGGUUGAACGAAGUAUUGACUUUUUUUAUUUCUGUGGAUGAAUUUAAUUUUUUAGUUAAAAAGCUAGAAUAGUUUUAAGGGACGAGAAGACCCUAUAGAUCUUUGUGUAGAUAUAGAUAAAGUGUAUUUUGGUUUUUUAUUUGAUAUUUUUAUUUGAUAUUUUUAUUUGGCUGGGGUGGCUGUGGAAAUUUUUAACUUCUAUUGGGUUAGUUCAUGGAUUAGUGUUUAUAUAUGAUCUUGUAUUAAUGAUUUUAAGAUUAAGAUACCUUAGGGAUAACAGCGUUAUCUUU
rnacentral:rRNA from 1 species